GUGAAUCAUCAAAUCUUUGAACGCAAAUUGCACUCUUCUCGGAGAAUAUGCCUGUGUGAGGGUCAGCCUAUAAAAAAUCGUCAACGCUUCUGUUUCGCGGUGGCGUGCGUCGGAUAUUGGGUCAUCUUAAAUCUUUUGGUUUUAUGCGACUUAAAAUCUUCUUAUUGAUUCCAUGCACGCUUCUAAGCUU
rnacentral:misc_RNA from 1 species